UACGGGGGGAGCAAGCGUUGUUCGGAAUCACUGGGCGUAAAGGGCGUGUAGGCGGCCAAGUAAGUCGGGGGUGAAAUCCACUGGCUCAACCAGUGACGUGCCUUCGAAACUGCCUGGCUUGAGUAUGGCAGAGGGAAGCGGAAUUCCAGGUGUAGCGGUGAAAUGCGUAGAUAUUCGGAAGAACACCAGUGGCGAAGGCGGCUCACUGGACUGGUAUUGACGCUGAGGUGCGAAAGCGUGGGGAGCAAACAGG
rnacentral:rRNA from 1 species